rnacentral:tRNA from 1 species
GGCUUUGUGGCACAAUGGAUAGCGCAUUGGACUUCUAGAAGUUAAAAGGAUUCAAAGAUUCAGUGUUCAAGUCCUGAUGGAGUCA